GGAAAGCUGUGUGUAUGAUGCAUGUGUAUGAUGCAUUUAUUCACGAGGACGGAGUGUGAGCGUGCAGCAGCUCAAACACACACACACACACACACACACCUGCUUCUGACUCCUGCCCUUCAGUCAGACUUUCAGCAGGGAGCUAGCGAGCUGGACACUGAGGACGUGCCGGAGUUCCACUCAUGCAAUGCUGUGUUUCUUCGGUGCACACACGUACAGGACCAGAAGACCCUUACUGAACGUUUUCAUCAGGAGUACGUGUCCCGUCACACCCCUGACCGACAGGACUCACAAACACACCUCAAGCAGACCUCGCUUCAUUAGAGUCCAGAUUUACAAAUCAAUGCACAUACUGACAGUAAAUAAAUGUAUUCUGUAAGAAGACGAGCAUUGAAGAAAAUCUCUUGUCUGAUAUGAUUGUUACACAGUAUAAAUAUAUACACAAAUACAAACAAUCCACAUAUCAUGCAGCUUGGACCUAUUAGUCUUUGAAUUUAUUUUUUAAUUAUGAUAUUUUGAAAUGUGCAAAGAUGAUUCAUCAACAUCUUUUAAUCAGAAGGUUUUUAAAAUAAACAUCUAUUGCCUUAUUUUUCUCAUAUCUCAUUAAGGCUAGAGAUAUGGAGUAAAUGUGUGAUCUGCCGGAUCGGGUUCAGUCGGCCUCUUCAUCAUCACAUGAUUCACUCUCUUCUGGUUGCCACAGAAACAUCACUGAAUGUCAAGUUUGGACACUGCGGCGCUUUACAGCCAUCAAGUGCUUCCAAACGAGCAGAGAAUGCACAAUACAGCCGAGAGAACAAUGAAGACAGACGUGAGCAAACAAAGAACUCAAGAUGGAAAGAGUGAAAGAAGCAGGAAAAGAGCAGCAUGUCCUGCAUUUGAGAUUCACUAGUUUAACCAGGCAUGUGUAUGUUGAUCAGUCACUCACACAAGCACUAACCAGUAGUGUGUGAGACACUGGAGGAGGAUGAGGAACUCAGAUGCAUUAUUGUAGUUUUCACUUGGAAACAAUAACAGAAUAAGUGUGUGUUUAGCGGUCGAGAUGCUAGCGUGUGCUAAGAUCUGAAGAAUCGCUCAAAUCUGGAGCUCAAGCAGCGAAUGAUCUCUAAAGACUUCCUCACAACACGCAUGGCGUUUGUUAACCGCUGGCCAGUCGUCAUCGACUGCAUGAAGGCAGUGAAGUGAAAAGCAAAGAUGUGUGAUUCCAGGAAGGCGAUUGCUCAACAGGCCAAUGUUUACAGAAGAAACACAAAAUAACUAAUACGGUCACAUUCUGCUGGCCUGACAUAAGGCCCGUUUCACAUUCGCGCUCCGCCAGUUGGUGCGCUUCCAUCCUGGUCCCUAAGCAACCAUUGAUAAUAAUCAAAUGUCAGGCUUCACUGAUUCGAGACACAAGAGCCUUGGGCCAAAAGUGAAAUAAAUAAUUCAGUUCAGAUCGGAAGAGCUGGAUGAACCUUUGUUCGGUGCAUUUAUAUAAAGAUCAGGGUCAGAUUCAGAACUGAAGAAUCGGCUCCCUUUUAUUCGUAAGUGUGAAUGUGAAUCGACUUGAAAUGACAGGAAGAAGAAUUAUACAAUUCUAAGAUUUGAAUUCAUUUGUCCAACACAAGAUUUGCUGUGCAGGUAAUAUAUAUAUAAUUAUGUAAUUUAUCCCUGAUAUACAGACUCAUGUAUCCUAAAGUAGAUACCGAUAAGACAUUUAAACUGAAGGAUGAACACGUACAGCAGCUACAGGAACACAUCUGAACUCUGUUUGUUUGUGUCCUAAUAUAACUGAAGGAAACACAACCAUGAUUUCAAAGCAUGUUUCAUUCACACACACUCUCUCUCUCUCUCUCUCUCUCUCUCUCACACACACACACACACACACACACACACACACACACACACACUGUCUCUCUCUCUCUCUCAAUUCAAUUCAAUUCAUAUUGCUUUAUUAUAUACAUUUUUAUAAACAUUGAUGGUACUUCUAAUGUAGAUGUGUUCACUCUUUACCUCUUAGUUUGUGGCAUUUGUAAAUAUAAUGUGCU